rnacentral:misc_RNA from 1 species
AAGUCGUAACAAGGUAUCCGUUGGUGAACCAGCGGAUGGAUCAUUACCUGAACAAUUUACGCCAAUUGUGGUGUGGCUGACUGUUUGUUUGUUUGUUAGCCUCUGGUGGGGUUGGUUAAUCAGCCUGCCAGGACUCAUAGUGUGCAAUGACGUGAGGUUGGUAUCCGAGGCCAACGAGAAGUCGCACGCUUGACGAGUGAAGGGAUUGCUGGAAAGGAUGGACCAUCAGUCGUCCAGGCGAGAUGCCUCCUCAAUCCCUGAGACUGCCAUUGACUUGACCGAAGCGAUUGUCUGUAAAGAUAAUAACUGCUGGCCGUGGAUCACUUGGCUGACG